CUAAUUUACGAGAUUCCCUAUUUGUGUUCAAAUCUUUGAUGUUGAAGUUCAUUUAUUGAUUUUAGUGUAGUUCGGCUGUAAUGUAAUGAUUGGGGACAACGAGACGGUUCCGUUCAAAACGAGAUGUAUAGUCGCUUUAAGAUAUUUUCAAUUUCUUAGAUGUCAUAACAUGGUAAUCAUAGCUAUCAACAGUACUUAAGAAAUUAAUGGCAGAGGAAGAAAUAUGGACGUUAUAGCAGAAAAAGGAUAGUUAAAAGUAUCAAUGGAAGAAAUUUAGACAUCAUAAUAUGAUAGUAUAAAAAAUACUGUUUCAAUCAAAUUAGCAGUAUUGAAAGCAACAUUAGUAACUAAUGAGUUACUUGUCAGCUUCACCCAUAUAUUUAUGUAGAAGAGACAUGCGAUUCUUCCAAGACCAAUUUACUGCACAAUGAAAAAUACAAUUGUCAUCAUUUUUAUUUAUCACAACAAUCUCAAUUGAUUCUGUUCAUCAACGCAGGAAAGAAAAAUAUCAAUUUCAUUAUUAUACAUUUAAUGGAAACUGGCGAGAUCGAAUCCAUUGUUAGUAUUUGAAGGCUAUUUGGACUUGCGUCCGUAAAGGGAAUCUAUUCAUCCCCAUUGUAUAAAAAUAUUGUACAACGUUUUGAAACAAUGCACCUAUAAUUACAAGCCAUUAUACCUGGCA